GAACGAACGCUGGCGGCGUGCUUAACACAUGCAAGUCGAACGCGAAAGGGACUUCGGUCCUGAGUAAAGUGGCGCACGGGUGAGUAACGCGUAGAUAACCUGUCUUCAUGUCUGGAAUAAUACGCCGAAAGGGGUACUAAUACCGGAUAUUCUUGCUUUUCAUAAGUUAUGCAAGCAAAGGUGGCCUCUGCAUAUGCUACUGCAUGAAGAGGGGUCUGCGUACCAUUAGCUAGUAGGUGGGGUAAUGGCCUACCUAGGCGACGAUGGUUAGCGGGUCUGAGAGGAUGAUCCGCCACACUGGCACUGGAACACGGGCCAGACUCCUACGGGAGGCAGCAGUGAGGAAUAUUGCGCAAUGGGGGAAACCCUGACGCAGCGACGCCGCGUGAAGUGAGGAAGGCCUUCGGGUCGUAAAGCUCUGUCAAGAGGAAAGAAGUGUACAAUGGCUAAUACCUGUUGUAUUUGACGGUACCUCUAAAGGAAGCACCGGCUAACUCCGUGCCAGCCGCCGC
rnacentral:rRNA from 1 species